UCUCUGAGUGUGUACUUGUUAAGCCUUUUAAGAAAAAAGUUAUUAACUUAAGGAAUUAUAACAAAGAAGUAACACGUAAUGGAUCCGUCCAUUUUUAGUGUGUAUCAAUCGAGUUUCUGACCUAUCAGCUUUUGAUGUUAGGGUAUUGGCCUAACAUGGCUAUGACGGGUAACGGGGAAUUAGAGUUCGAUUCCGGAGAGGGAGCCUGAGAAAUAGCUACCACAUCUAAGGAAGGCAGCAGGCGCGUAAAUUACCCAAUUCUAAAGAAGAGAGGUAGUGACAAGAAAUAACAAUACAAGGCCAAUCUGGCUUUGUAAUUGGAAUGAUGGGAAUUUAAAACCUUCCCAAAACUCAAUUGGAGGGCAAGUCUGGUGCCAGCAGCCGCGGUAAUUCCAGCUCCAAUAGCGUAUAUUAAAAUUGUUGCAGUUAAAACGCUCGUAGUUGAAUUUCAAAGAAUCGAUAUUUUAAGUAACGCUUUUAGCUUAAUCCACAUAACUGAUACUACGUAUCGACUUUGUGCGCAUUUUGCUAUUAUGUGUUCUUUUAAUUAAAAUGAUUCUUUUUAAGAUCUUUCUUUUGCUUCGGCAUUUGAAGAUCUUGUUACUUUGAGUAAAUUAGAGUGUUCAAAGCAAACAGAUAUAGCAUUGCGCGUUUGAAUACUACAGCAUGGAAUAACAAAAUUGAACAAGUCAGAAUUUUGUUCUUUUUUCUUAUUUUGGCUUAGUUACGAUUAAUAGGAGUAGCUUGGGGGCAUUUGUAUUCAGAUGUCAGAGGUGAAAUUCUUAGAUUUUCUGGAGACAAACAACUGCGAAAGCAUUUGCCUAAAAUACUUCCAUUAAUCAAGAACGAAAGUUAAGGGAGUGAAGACGAUCAGAUACCGUCGUAAUCUUAACCAUAAACUAUGCCGACUAGGC
rnacentral:rRNA from 1 species